GUUAACGAGGCGAACCGGGGGAACUGAAACAUCUAAGUACCCCGAGGAAAAGAAAUCAACCGAGAUUCCCCCAGUAGCGGCGAGCGAACGGGGAGCAGCCCAGAGUCUGAAUCAGCUUGUGUGUUAGUGGAACGGUCUGGAAAGUCCGACGGUACAGGGUGAUAGUCCCGUACACCAAAAUGCACAGGCUGUGAACUCGAAGAGUAGGGCGGGACACGUGGUAUCCUGUCUGAAUAUGGGGGGACCAUCCUCCAAGGCUAAAUACUCCUGACUGACCGAUAGUGAACCAGUACCGUGAGGGAAAGGCGAAAAGAACCCCGGCGAGGGGAGUGAAAAAGAACCUGAAACCGUGUACGUACAAGCAGUGGGAGCACCUUCGGGUGUGACUGCGUACCUUUUGUAUAAUGGGUCAGCGACUUAUAUUCUGUAGCAAGGUUAACCGUAUAGGGGAGCCGCAGGGAAACCGAGUCUUAACUGGGCGUUAAGUUGCAGGGUAUAGACCCGAAACCCGGUGAUCUAGCCAUGGGCAGGUUGAAGGUUGGGUAACACUAACUGGAGGACCGAACCGACUAAUGUUGAAAAAUUAGCGGAUGACUUGUGGCUGGGGGUGAAAGGCCAAUCAAACCGGGAGAUAGCUGGUUCUCCCCGAAAGCUAUUUAGGUAGCGCCUCGUGAAUUCAUCUUCGGGGGUAGAGCACUGUUUCGGCUAGGGGGUCAUCCCGACUUACCAACCCGAUGCAAACUACGAAUACCGAAGAAUGUUAUCACGGGAGACACACGGCGGGUGCUAACGUCCGUCGUGAAGAGGGAAACAACCCAGACCGCCAGCUAAGGUCCCAAAGUCAUGGUUAAGUGGGAAACGAUGUGGGAAGGCACAGACAGCCAGGAUGUUGGCUUAGAAGCAGCCAUCAUUUAAAGAAAGCGUAAUAGCUCACUGGUCGAGUCGGCCUGCGCGGAAGAUGUAACGGGGCUAAACCAUGCACCGAAGCUGCGGCAGCGACACUAUGUGUUGUUGGGUAGGGGAGCGUUCUGUAAGCCUGCGAAGGUGUGCUGUGAGGCAUGCUGGAGGUAUCAGAAGUGCGAAUGCUGACAUAAGUAACGAUAAAGCGGGUGAAAAGCCCGCUCGCCGGAAGACCAAGGGUUCCUGUCCAACGUUAAUCGGGGCAGGGUGAGUCGACCCCUAAGGCGAGGCCGAAAGGCGUAGUCGAUGGGAAACAGGUUAAUAUUCCUGUACUUGGUGUUACUGCGAAGGGGGGACGGAGAAGGCUAUGUUAGCCGGGCGACGGUUGUCCCGGUUUAAGCAUGUAGGCUGGUUGUCCAGGCAAAUCCGGAUAAUCAAGGCUGAGGUGUGAUGACGAGGCACUACGGUGCUGAAGUAACAAAUGCCCUGCUUCCAGGAAAAGCCUCUAAGCAUCAGGUAACAUUAAAUCGUACCCCAAACCGACACAGGUGGUCAGGUAGAGAAUACCAAGGCGCUUGAGAGAACUCGGGUGAAGGAACUAGGCAAAAUGGUGCCGUAACUUCGGGAGAAGGCACGCUGGUGUGUAGGUGAAGUCCCUGCGGAUGGAGCUGAGACCAGUCGAAGAUACCAGCUGGCUGCAACUGUUUAUUAAAAACACAGCACUGUGCAAACACGAAAGUGGACGUAUACGGUGUGACGCCUGCCCGGUGCCGGAAGGUUAAUUGAUGGGGUUAUCCGUAAGGAGAAGCUCUUGAUCGAAGCCCCGGUAAACGGCGGCCGUAACUAUAACGGUCCUAAGGUAGCGAAAUUCCUUGUCGGGUAAGUUCCGACCUGCACGAAUGGCGUAAUGAUGGCCAGGCUGUCUCCACCCGAGACUCAGUGAAAUUGAACUCGCUGUGAAGAUGCAGUGUACCCGCGGCAAGACGGAAAGACCCCGUGAACCUUUACUAUAGCUUGACACUGAACAUUGAGCCUUGAUGUGUAGGAUAGGUGGGAGGCUUUGAAGCGUGGACGCCAGUCUGCGUGGAGCCAACCUUGAAAUACCACCCUUUAAUGUUUGAUGUUCUAACGUUGGCCCCUGACCGGGGUUGCGGACAGUGUCUGGUGGGUAGUUUGACUGGGGCGGUCUCCUCCCAAAGCGUAACGGAGGAGCACGAAGGUUAGCUAAUCCUGGUCGGACAUCAGGAGGUUAGUGCAAUGGCAUAAGCUAGCUUGACUGCGAGCGUGACGGCGCGAGCAGGUGCGAAAGCAGGUCAUAGUGAUCCGGUGGUUCUGAAUGGAAGGGCCAUCGCUCAACGGAUAAAAGGUACUCCGGGGAUAACAGGCUGAUACCGCCCAAGAGUUCAUAUCGACGGCGGUGUUUGGCACCUCGAUGUCGGCUCAUCACAUCCUGGGGCUGAAGUAGGUCCCAAGGGUAUGGCUGUUCGCCAUUUAAAGUGGUACGCGAGCUGGGUUUAGAACGUCGUGAGACAGUUCGGUCCCUAUCUGCCGUGGGCGCUGGAGAAUUGAGGGGGGCUGCUCCUAGUACGAGAGGACCGGAGUGGACGCAUCACUGGUGUUCGGGUUGUCAUGCCAAUGGCACUGCCCGGUAGCUAAAUGCGGAAGAGAUAAGUGCUGAAAGCAUCUAAGCACGAAACUUGCCCCGAGAUGAGUUCUCCCUGAGACUUUAAGUCUCCUGAAGGAACGUUAAAGACGAUGACGUUGAUAGGCCGGGUGUGUAAGCGCAGCGAUGCGUUGAGCUAACCGGUACUAAUGAACCGUGAGGCUUAACCUU
rnacentral:rRNA from 1 species